rnacentral:lncRNA from 1 species
CUAGAACACUCCUGUUAACCCUGUCAGUUCUAGAACACUCCUGUUAACCCUGUCAGUUCUAGAACACUCCUGUUAACCCUGUCAGUUCUAGAACACUCCUGUUAACCCUGUCAGUUCUAGAACAUUCCUGUUAACCCUGUCAGUUCUAGAACACUCCUGUUAACCCUGUCAGUUCUAGAACACUCCUGUUAACCCUGUCAGUUCUAGAACACUCCUGUUAACCCUGUCAGUUCUAGAACACUCCUGUUAACCCUGUCAGUUCUAGAACAUUCCUGUUAACCCUGUCAGUUCUAGAACACUCCUGUUAACCCUGUCAGUUCUAGAACACUCCUGUUAACCCUGUCAGUUCUAGAACACUCCUGUUAACCCUGUCAGUUCUAGAACACUCCUGUUAACCCUGUCAGUUCUAGAACAUUCUUGUUGACCCUGUCAGUUCUAGAACAUUCCUGUUGACCCUGUCAGUUCUAGAACAUGAACACUACUACAGUCAGAUAAAUACACUGACAGGAUCCCAGUCUGGUCCGGCCACACUACACUACCCAGAGUUCCACAGCAGGUUUAGUCACACGGUAGUCAGGUUAUUGCCUUGCUAAUGGCUGGUGUUAUACACUGUUACUAUGGUUACUGUGAGAGAGACAGAGCUAGUGACGUUAACAGAACUACAGUAGGCCGGUGAAAUGGUUGGUGAAAUGGUCGGUGAAAUGGUCGGUGAAAUGGUCGGUGAAAUGGUUGGUGUCUGUGUCCGGGGGGACUGAGGUGACCAUUGUGACACUGAGUUCAAACACAGAGGCCACACAACAUACAUUGUUCUGUUCUGACGAGAGAGCGAGAGAGAGAGAGAGAGAGAGAGUUUGGCUUCUCUCCUCUCUUUGUGUUGUAGUGUCUCUGUAGUGUCUCUGUCUCUCUAGACCUGGUUGUAGUGUCUCUCUAGACCAGGUUGUAGUGUCUCUCUAGACCAGGUUGUAGUGUCUCUGUAGUGUCUCUCUAGACCAGGUUGUAGUAUCUCUCUAGACCAGGUUGUAGUGUCUCUGUAGUGUCUCUCUAGACCAGGUUGUAGUGUCUCUGUAGUGUCUCUCUAGACCAGGUUGUAGUGUCUCUGUAGUGUCUAUCUAGACCAGGUUGUAGUGUCUCUCUAGACCAGGUUGUAGUGUCUCUGUCUCUCUAGACCAGGUUGUAGUAUCUCUCUAGACCAGGUUGUAGUGUCUCUCUAGACCAGGUUGUAGUGUCUCUGUCUCUCUAGACCAGGUUGUAGUGUCUCUCUAGACCAGGUUGUAGUGUCUCUCUAGACCAGGUUGUAGUGUCUCUCUAGACCAGGUUGUAGUGUCUCUCUAGACCAGGUUGUAGUGUCUCUCUAGACCAGGUUGUAGUGUAUAUCUAGACCAGGUUGUAGUGUCUCUCUAGACCAGGUUGUAGUGUCUCUCUAGACCAGGUUGUAGUGUCUCUCUAGACCAGGUUGUAGUGUCUCUGUCUCUCUAGACCAGGUUGUAGUGUCUCUCUAGACCAGGUUAUAGUGUCUCUCUAGACCAGGUUGUAGUGUCUCUCUAGACCAGGUUGUAGUGUCUCUGUAGUAUCUCUCUAGACCAGGUUGUAGUAUCUCUCUAGACCAGGUUGUAGUGUCUCUGUAGUAUCUCUCUAGACCAGGUUGUAGUGUCUCUCUAGACCAGGUUGUAAAGUAACAGGUCUUUAUCUCCAGGAUAACUGAAACAUGAACAACACUACAACCAUGUUAGAUUAACAAAGCUACGACCAGGUGAUAUUAACAACACUACGACCAGGUUAGAUUAACGACCAGGUUAGAUUAACGACCAGGUUAGAUUAACAACACUACGACCAGGUUAGAUUAACAACACUACGACCAGGUUAGAUUAACAACACUACGGCCAGGUUAGAUUAACAACCCUACAACCAGGUUAGAUUAACAACACUACGACCAGGUUAUCUGAACAACACUACGACAAGGUUAGAUUAACAACACAACGACCAGGUUAGAUUAACGACCAGGUUAUAUUAUCAACACUAUGAUCAUGUUAGAUUAACAACACUACGACCAGGUUAGAUUAACAACACUACGGCCAGGUUAGAUUAACAACACUACGACCAGGUUAGAUUAACAACACUACGACCAGGUUAGAUUAACAACACUACGACCAGGUUAGAUUAAUAACACUACGACCAGGUUAGAUUAACAACACUACAAUCAGGUUAUCGGAACAACAGUAAGACCAUGUCAGAUUAAUGACCAGGUUAGAUUAACGACCAGGUUAGAUUAACAACACUACAACCAGGUUAGAUUAACGACCAGGUUAGAUUAACGACCAGGUCAGAUUAACGACCAGGUUAGAUUAACAACACUAUGACCAGGUUAGAUUAACAACCAGGUCAUAUUAACAACACUACGACCAGGUUAGAUUAACGACCAGGUCAGAUUAACGACCAGGUUAGAUUAACAACACUACGCCCAAAUUAUAUUAAAAACACUACGACCAGGUUAGAUUAACGACCAGGUUAGAAUAACAACAACACUACGACCAGGUUAGAUUAACGACCAGGUUAGAUUAACAACAGUACGACCAGGUUAGAUUAACAACACUACAACUAGGUUAGAUUAACGACCAGGUUAGAAUAACAACACUACGACCAGGUUAGAAUAACAACCAGGUUAGUUUAACAACACUACGACCAGGUUAGAUUAACAACAGUACGACCAGGUUACAUUAACAACACUACAACCAGGUUAGAUUAACGACCAGGUUAGAAUAACGACCAGGUUAUAUUAACAACACUACGACCAGGCACACACAGUCUCAAAUGGAACCCUUUUCCACAGCUCCCUAUGUGGCCCCUGGUCAAAAGUAGUGCACUAUGUAGGGGAUAGAGUACCAUUUGGGUCAACCCCAAACUAAUCUUCCUCUGUGCUGAACCCCUCCACAGAACCAGUGAACCAUCUUGACCGGUUCUGUGGCUCAGGACCCUCCUGGGUCCCCAGUGUUGUGGAACAUUACCGAAUAAACAGGUUUACAAAGUUAUUGUUGUGUGGGUUUUUUUUCCGUUCACUUGCAUCCUCCCCUCCCCUCCCCCCGUUCAGGAUGAAAAUGGUUUAGUCCACUGACUCCGCUCAGCUGUCCAUCACACACUCUCCAUAAUGAUCACCACAGAAUCCUCCUCAGCCAAUGGGGUGUCUCCUGGGGCGGGGCUACACAGGGUUAGUCCCUCCCCUGACACCUGAUCUCUAACCGGGCAGUCCAGGCUGUCGUGGAGCUCGCUCACCCCUUCCACUUCUCCUUCAUCGCCUCCUCCUCCUCUCCUCCCUUCCCCUGCUUCCUCCACUCCCUCCUCCUCCUCCUCUUCCUCCUCCUCCUCCUCCUCCUCCUCCUCCUCGUCUUCCUCAACCUGACAGCGGCACACCUCGAUGCCCGAGUCCCCUGUUAGACGGCGGUGACGAUACUGACUCGCAUCAGCCCCAACUUCCUCCUGCUCUUCCUCUUCCUCCUCCUCCUCCUCUCCCUCGCUCCUGUAGGUGUGGGGGACAAGCUGGUACACGUCCACGCAGGGGGAGAACAGGGUCUGCUUGGGGGGAGACUGGGUGGGCCUGGGGGAGAAAGGGGGAGGAGAGGAGGGGGAGAAAGGGGGAGGAGAGGACAAGGGAGAGACAGGGGGAGGAAAGCAGGAGGGAGAGACCGAGAGGGUAGAGGCUGGGGAGAGCGUAGAGGCUGGGGAGAGCGCAGAGAGGGUAGGGGCUAGAGAGGCUAGGGUUAGGGUAGGAGAAUGGGCUGGGGAGAGCGCAGAGAGGGUAGGAGGUUGGGCUGGGGAGAGCGCAGAGAGGGUAGGGGCUGGAGAGGCUAGGGUUAGGGUAGGAGUUUGGGCUGGGGAGAGCGUAGAGAGGGUAGGGGCUAGAGAGGCUAGGGUUAGGGUAGGAGUUUGGGCUGGGGAGAGCGCAGAGAGGGUAGGGGCUGGAGAGGCUAGGGUUAGGGUAGGAGGUUGGGCUGGGGAGAGCGCAGAGGGG